rnacentral:rRNA from 1 species
GUCGUAGCAAUACGGCUAGUACACCGGCGCACGGGUGAGUAACACGUGGACAACCUGCCUUAGAGUCUGGGAUAACCCGUCGAAAGACGAGCUAAUACCGGAUAAGACCACGGGAAGUUCGCUUCCUGAGGUAAAAGAUGGCCUCUGCUCCUGCAAGCUAUCACUUUGAGAGGGGUCCGCGUCCUAUCAGCUAGUUGGCGAGGUAAUGGCUCACCAAGGCUAAGACGGGUAGCUGGUCUGAGAGGAUGGUCAGCCACACUGGGACUGAGACACGGCCCAGAGUCCUACGGGAUGCAGCAGUCAGGAAUAUUGCGCAAUGGAGGAAACUCUGACGCAGCGACGCCGCGUGGGUGAUGAAGGCCUUCGGGUCGUAAAGCCCUGUCGGAGGGGAAGAAAAGUCUGUUGGCUAAUAUCCAGCGGACCUUUGACGGUACCCUCAAAGGAAGCACCGGCUAACUCCGUGCCAGCAGCCGCGGUAAGACGGAGGGUGCAAGCGUUGUUCGGAUUGACUGGGCGUAAAGGGCGUGUAGGCGGUUGGUUAAGUCGGGUGUGAAAGCCUGGGGCUCAGCCCCAGAAGUGCAUCCGAAACUAGCCAGCUAGAGCGCGAUAGAGGAGGGUGGAAUUCCUGGUGUAGCGGUGAAAUGCGUAGAUAUCAGGAGGAACACCGGCGGCGAA